CCUACGGGUGGCAGCAGUGGGGAAUAUUGCACAAUGGGCGCAAGCCUGACGCAGCCAUGCCGCGUGAGGGAAGAAGGCUUUCGGGUUGUAAACUUCUUUGACAGGGGAGGAGGAGAAGACGGUACACUACAAACAAGCCACAGCUAACUACGUGCCAGCAGCCGCGGUAAUACGGAGGUGGCAAGCGUUGUACGGAUUUACUGGGUGUAAAGAGCGUGUAGCCGGGAAGGCAAGUCAGAUGUGAAAUCCGGAGGCUCAACCUCCGAAUUGCAUUUGAAACUGGUUGUCUUGAGUACUGGAGAGGCAGACGGAAUUCCGGGUGUAGCGGUGAAAUGCGUAGAGAUAAGGAGGAAUACCAGUGGCGAAGGCGGUCUGCUGGACAGCAACUGACGGUGAGGUGCGAAAGCGUGGGGAGCAAACAGGAUUAGAUACCCUUGUAGUC
rnacentral:rRNA from 1 species